AAUAUACUCAUAAAAAAAAAAGCGCUUUUACUUUUAAAGAAAACUCAAACUCAAGAGGAAGAAUCUGCAUUUUAUGGCUAAUAUAGAUGAAGCUCCUUUCGAUGUAACACGCGAAUCGCUCAUUGCUAUAUCGAAUUUGCUACCUGAUAUAAUAAUCGUGGAGAAUACUUGCAUCUUAAAUGGUUCUAUAACGACUUUAGGGGACAGAACAGAGGAUUUCAGGACGCAAUUGAUGUCGAUUUCGAGUACUUCAGUCGUGAAAUUAGUCAUUUGAUAUUUGUGUUAUGAGAGGGUACCGAUGUUACAUUCUAAGAGAGGAUGUGGCCCUUUCCUGAAUCUUGCGGGAAUGUGAGAUAUUUUGUAUAGCGAAAUCUUUGUCAUGUGUACUUUCUUCAAUUUUCGAGACACGGACCUCGAAUUUUAAGGUCGUGAAGUUACAUAAAAAAGAAUCUAUCUUCUAUUCACAUGAGAUAUGAAUAAAAUUUGUGUUUAUUUUGUCCUCGUCA